UACGUAGGGUGCAAGCGUUAAUCGGAAUUACUGGGCGUAAAGCGUGCGCAGGCGGUUAUGUAAGACAGAUGUGAAAUGCCCGGGCUUAACCUGGGAACUGCAUUUGUGACUGCAUGGCUAGAAUCUGGCAGAGGGGGGGUAGAAUUCCACGUGUAGCAGUGAAAUGCGUAGAUAUGCGGAGGAACACCGAUGGCGAAGGCAAUCCCCUGGACC
rnacentral:rRNA from 1 species